GGUCUGCCAGUGCCACCCUCUACCCGGGCAGGGACACCUCCCGCUACACCAGGGUGCCCCAGAAAUCCUUCCAGCCCGGCUUUGAACACUUCCCGGGGAGCAGCCUCACCUUCUCUGAGCGAUCUGUGCCAGACCCUCACCACCCUCCCAGGGAAGAAUUUCCUCCCAAUAUUCAGCCUGAAUUUUUCCUCUUUCAUUUCGAGCCCACUCCCUCUUGUCCUGCUUCUACAGUUCCUGCCAAAGAGUCCCUUCCCGGCUACUGAAGCCCCUUCAGAUCCUGGAAGGGAGGGCUGAAGUGGUUGUUUCCAGCUCAACCGUGGAUCUACCAGUAAGUUCCAGCUUCUUCCUGGGAGCUAUGGCAACAGCAGACGUCUGAACAUCAGUGUGUGGAGUAACAGCUGUGCAAGCUCUAUUGUCUAGAGGCAGAUAAACAACUGGACUGGAUGAGGCAAGUGUGGGCGAAAAGGGAGAGAAAAAUCAAUGGCCUUGACCUUUAUUUUAUCAAGAUUGUGUAGUAUGUCCCAUCUUUAUUUAGAGACAUGAUUCAGAUGGUCCUGUAGAUUUUUUCUCACAAUUUCAUUUCCGCCUUGUAUAUUCUUAGGUGAAAUCUCAGCAACAGCCAAAGAAGCCUGGAGUAGUACCAAGAAAUAUCUGGAAGCAUGAAAAAAAAAAAAAAAAAUUGUUUUUCUAGUAAUGUGCUUUCUCUGGGCAGUACGUAUUUGUGCCACUAGAUGUCCUGGCAGCAUCAGCUCUUGCACCACACGGAGCUACAACCCAGGUUGCAAAAAAAAAAACCCCACGGACCUACAAACAUCGCAUGAUUUAUUCUAAAAAUCUCCGAUUAGAUAUUUUCUUGGAAUUGGGUAGGGGAUUGCUGGGGUUUUUGGGGGUUUUUUAAAGAUUGUAAUUAUUAUAAUCCCUGUGCACUGACCACCUGAGAAACCUGGGGAGUUUUGACUCCUGAAAAACAGCUGCUUGCAACCACAGCUGCAGCACAGGCUGUCGUGCCUUGCUCCACUAACAAAUAUCAGGCACACUUAGACUGCUUGAGUGGUCAAAAAAUUCCCCUAUAAUUCUGGGAUUUGAUUCCCAGAGCCUUUUUUAGUCUGAGGAUGCUUCUUUUGGGAUCUCCUUUCAGAACCUUUCCUCAGAAGAAGAAUCAUCGUUAGUCUGAAGAUGAUCCCUAGUAAUCAGGGAUUUUUAUGCAACAGAAUGGAAUUUUUCUGAAGCUCUUUAUUGUUUUUUCAAUGUUUCUUCACCAUUAGGAUAUUGUAUGUAUCAUGGACAGCUAUCGAGGUUGGAUGGAAGGAAUCAGCAGUGUCAGAAAAUCAUAAUGGAGGAACAGUCUGCAGGGUAGCAGCCAAGUAUCAGUGGAAGAAGUGCAUUAAUCUAGGGGAGAUAAUGCUUCUUGUAGCAGCUGGUCAAUUUUUAUCUUCUCACAUCAAAAGCAUCUCCACCGUGUAUGAACAGAAGCCUUUUACCUCAGCUGAAAAGCAGCACUGCAAAAUGAGAUUGACACAGCUCAAAUAAAUGACACAGAGGAAGAGGAUCACAAAAUAAAUAUUCUUCUGGCAAGGAAAUGAGCCAUUUUCUGCAAGGCCUGUGUAAUUGCUACAAUAACCCACAUUUAUGUGAAGGCAGAUAAUUUGGUUAUUUUCCUGCUUGCUUGUUGAGCAUUUUGGUGACAGAUGGUGGAUUUAAUAUUCUUGGAUUUGGGUUAUUUUGGGGGUGAGGGAUGUAUAUACUGCUUAGCUGAGUUAGAAGUCAGCCCUUGCAGUGAAUUCACAGAAUUAAUUCAGUUGGAAAAGACCUCUGAGGUCAUUGAAUCCAGCCUGUGACCAAUCCCUAUUGUCAGCCAGACCAUGGCAUUGAGUGCCACAUCCAGUUUUUUCUUUAACACCUCCAGCGAUGGUGACUCCACCACCUCCCUGGGUAGCUCGUGACAAUAUUUAAUCACCCUUUAUAUGAAGAAAUUCCUCCCGAUGUCCAACCCGAACCACACAUGACACAGCCUCAAGGGGUCUAAGGCUGUGGGUUCUCUCCCUUUCUAGGGCCCUUGCCUCCUUUACAAAUGCUCAAAACAGGAAUAUUUGCUUCAAAAACAGCCUCACCUGGCUCGGGGGGAGGGUGGUAAGAGGCAGGGAAGGGGACCUGA